GGGAAACUGCGAAGAAACAUUGCCAUAUAUACCAUUCAGUUUUAUCAACAAUUCCUGUACAUAUUGUUCUUGUAUUAGCUGUAAAUCCCCAGACAUUAUAACAAGCGGUUCCCUGGCCCAGGGUGUGGGAAAAGGUUGUCCCAUCAGAAUCUCAAAUGGAGAUAAUUUAGUCACCUUGUGGGGAGUCAUUCUUAUCUCAGCUAAAAUUGUCCAAUUUACCCAUGUUCCUGCAGUAGCUUUCAUAAGCUUCUCCUUAAUGGUCCUAUUCAUCCUUUCAACUACCCCUGAACUCUGUGGAUGAUAGGGUAUAUGAAACUUCCAGGUAACUUGCAAGAAUUUAGCAAAUUCCUGGGUAACCUUACUGGCAAAAGCCGUGCCAAUAUCACUGUUAAUCUGCAGAGGGCAGCCACACGUGGGAAUAAUUUCAGUAGCAAGAAUCUUCACUACAGUCCUAGCAUCCUCCCUAGAUGUCACAAAGGCCUCAGGCCAUCUACUAAACUGAUCAACUAUGACCAGCAAGUAUUGCUGUUUCUUACCAAUUUUGGGUACAUGAGUAAAAUCAAUCUGUAAGUGUGUAAAAGGAGCAGCUGGAGGGGGCAAAUGUUCGUGCUGUGAUUUGUGUGGAAUAUUAGGAUGUGUUCUCAUACAUGGUUCACACGAUCUUAUAAAAGACUGUACAUGCUGCCUGAGAUUCCUAAUAUAAAAUGAAUUCAUGAGGAAUUGGAUGGUGCUUGCU